rnacentral:rRNA from 2 species
GUUUAGACCGUCGUGAGACAGGUUAGUUUUACCCUACUGAUGGCUUGUCGUUGCGAUAGUAAUACUGCUCAGUACGAGAGGAACCGCAGUUUCGGACAU